rnacentral:rRNA from 1 species
UACAGGGGGUGCAAACGUUGCUCGGAAUUAUUGGCGUAAAGCGCGCGUAGGCGGCUACCUAAGUCGGAUGUGAAAGCCCCUGGCUUAACUGGGGAAGUGCACCCGAAACUGGGUAGCUAGAGUGCAAAGAGGGUCGCGGAAUUCCCGGUGUAGAGGUGAAAUUCGUAGAUAUCGGGAGGAACACCGGUGGCGAAGGCGGCGACCUGGGUUGACACUGACGCUGAGGCGCGAAAGCGUGGGAGCAAACAGG